CCUACGGGGGGCAGCAGUGGGGGAUAUUGCACAAUGGGGGGAACCCUGAUGCAGCGACGCCGCGUGGGUGAAGAAGCGCCUCGGCGCGUAAAGCCCUGUCAGCAGGGAAGAAAAUGACGGUACUUGAAGAAGAAGCCCCGGCUAACUACGUGCCAGCAGCCGCGGUAAUACGGAGGGGGCAAGCGUUAUCCGGAUUUACUGGGUGUAAAGGGGGCGGAGACGGCGAUGCAAGCCAGGAGUGAAAGCCCGGGGACCAACCCCGGGACUGCUCUUGGAACUGGGUGGCUGGAGUGCAGGAGGGGCAGGCGGAAUUCCAGGUGUAGCGGUGAAAUGCGUAGAUAUCAGGAGGAACACCGGUGGCGAAGGCGGCCUGCUGGACUGCAACUGACGUUGAGGCCCGAAAGCGUGGGGAGCAAACAGGAUUAGAUACCCCAGUAGUC
rnacentral:rRNA from 1 species